UCCCCGAGACAGUGUCAGCAU
rnacentral:misc_RNA from 1 species